rnacentral:ncRNA from 1 species
AAGCAUGAGCCGGUGCCAAUCCGGGCGCUGUCGGGGUGUCUUGCCCGUCUCGGUCUGCGAGUCUCGCGGCUGGAUGGAAAGAGGUCCGCGACAGCACCGGAGCGGCUGAGAUCAUACGGCGGGAACUUGAUCUGGAUAAUACCAGCGAAAGGAUCAUGCUUCUUCUCCCA